rnacentral:rRNA from 1 species
GGACCAUCAUGUCGGUCGUGCCUCGGUACGUACUGGUAUUAUUGAUUCCUACCUUCUGACGAACCACGAUGUCAUUAAUUUGGUGUUGUGGGGAAUCAGGACUGUUACUUUGAAAAAAUUAGAGUGUUUAAAGCAGGCUCACGCUUGAAUACAUUAGCAUGGAAUAAUGAAAUAGGACGUUUGAUUCUAUUUUGUUGGUUUCUAGGAUCGACAUA